rnacentral:rRNA from 1 species
GAUGAACGCUGGCGGCGUGCCUAAUACAUGCAAGUCGAGCGAACGGACGAGAAGCUUGCUUCUCUGAUGUUAGCGGCGGACGGGUGAGUAACACGUGGAUAACCUACCUAUAAGACUGGGAUAACUUCGGGAAACCGGAGCUAAUACCGGAUAAUAUUUUGAACCGCAUGGUUCAAAAGUGAAAGACGGUCUUGCUGUCACUUAUAGAUGGAUCCGCGCUGCAUUAGCUAGUUGGUAAGGUAACGGCUUACCAAGGCAACGAUGCAUAGCCGACCUGAGAGGGUGAUCGGCCACACUGGAACUGAGACACGGUCCAGACUCCUACGGGAGGCAGCAGUAGGGAAUCUUCCGCAAUGGGCGAAAGCCUGACGGAGCAACGCCGCGUGAGUGAUGAAGGUCUUCGGAUCGUAAAACUCUGUUAUUAGGGAAGAACAUAUGUGUAAGUAACUGUGCACAUCUUGACGGUACCUAAUCAGAAAGCCACGGCUAACUACGUGCCAGCAGCCGCGGUAAUACGUAGGUGGCAAGCGUUAUCCGGAAUUAUUGGGCGUAAAGCGCGCGUAGCGGUUUUUUAAGUCUGAUGUGAAAGCCCACGGCUCAUUCGUGGAGGGUCAUUGGAAACUGGAAAACUUGAGUGCAGAAGAGGAAAGUGGAAUUCCAUGUGUAGCGGUGAAAUGCGCAGAGAUAUGGAGGAACACCAGUGGCGAAGGCGACUUUCGGGUCUGUAACUGACGCUGAUGUGCGAAAGCGUGGGGAUCAAACAGGAUUAGAUACCCUGGUAGUCCACGCCGUAAACGAUGAGUGCUAAGUGUUAGGGGGUUUCCGCCCCUUAGUGCUGCAGCUAACGCAUUAAGCACUCCGCCUGGGGAGUACGACCGCAAGGUUGAAACUCAAAGGAAUUGACGGGGACCCGCACAAGCGGUGGAGCAUGUGGUUUAAUUCGAAGCAACGCGAAGAACCUUACCAAAUCUUGACAUCCUUUGACAACUCUAGAGAUAGAGCCUUCCCCUUCGGGGGACAAAGUGACAGGUGGUGCAUGGUUGUCGUCAGCUCGUGUCGUGAGAUGUUGGGUUAAGUCCCGCAACGAGCGCAACCCUUAAGCUUAGUUGCCAUCAUUAAGUUGGGCACUCUAAGUUGACUGCCGGUGACAAACCGGAGGAAGGUGGGGAUGACGUCAAAUCAUCAUGCCCCUUAUGAUUUGGGCUACACACGUGCUACAAUGGACAAUACAAAGGGCAGCGAAACCGCGAGGUCAAGCAAAUCCCAUAAAGUUGUUCUCAGUUCGGAUUGUAGUCUGCAACUCGACUACAUGAAGCUGGAAUCGCUAGUAAUCGUAGAUCAGCAUGCUACGGUGAAUACGUUCCCGGGUCU